rnacentral:miRNA from 1 species
UUCCUGUCAGCCGUGGGUGCC